CACGUAGGGGGCGAGCGUUGUUCGGAAUUACUGGGCGUAAAGGGCACGUAGGCGGUUCUGUAAGCCUGACGUGAAAGGCUAUGGCUCAACCAUGGCAUUGCGUUGGGAACUGCGGGACUUGAAUCACGGAGAGGGAGCUGGAAUUCCAGGUGUAGGGGUGAAAUCUGUAGAUAUCUGGAAGAACACCAAUGGCGAAGGCAAGCUCCUGGCCGAUGAUUGACGCUGAGGUGCGAAAGUGUGGGGAUCAAACAGG
rnacentral:rRNA from 1 species